UCACGAACAAGGCAAACCUAUCGAAAGGUAGGGACGCAAAGCUUCCGGCCUAAGAGUAGGCAGUUUUAUUUUUAAAGCAGUCAACUUAUGGUAGCGGGGUUGCCGAU
rnacentral:ncRNA from 1 species